rnacentral:misc_RNA from 1 species
CUGAGUAAACGGGUCUUUUAGGCCCCUACUCCCACCCUUUGUGUACCUUACCAUAUCUUCUGUUGCCUUGGCGGGUUGGACCGCCUAAGGACCUCGCGUUCUUAGGCACCUUUCCGCCAGGGGAACACCUUUAAACUCUUAUGAAUUGAGUCGUCUGAGAAUUUAUGCAAAUAAAUUA